CGUGUAGGCGGUUGGUCAAGUCGGGUGUGAAAGCCCGGGGCUCAGCCUCGGAAGUGCAUCCGAAACUAGCCAGCUAGAGCGCGAUAGAGGAGGGUGGAAUUCCUGGUGUAGCGGUGAAAUGCGUAGAUAUCAGGAGGAACACCGGCGGCGAAGGCGGCCCUCUGGGUCGUUGCUGACGCUGAGACGCGAAAGCGUGGGGGGCAAACAGGAUUAGAUACCCUGGUAGUCCACGCUAUAAACGAUGGGUACUAGGUGUUCGGGGUGUUGACCCCCUGAGUGCCGCAGCUAACGCAUUAAGUACCCCGCCUGGGGACUACGGCCGCAAGGUUAAA
rnacentral:rRNA from 1 species